rnacentral:misc_RNA from 1 species
AUGAGUUUCUAAAACUCCCAACCCAUGUGAACAUACCUCUGUUGCCUCGGCGGCCUACCCGGUAGCUACCCUGUAGCUACCCUGUAGUUCGCCGAAGGACAUCAAAACUCUGUUUAAGUAUUAUCUCUGAACAACUUUUAAAUAAGUCA